rnacentral:rRNA from 1 species
UACGUAGGGGGCUAGCGUUUGUCCGGAAUCAUUGGGCGUAAAGAGCGUGUAGGCGGCUUGGUAAGUCCGCUGUGAAAGUCCAGGGCUCAACCCUGGAAUGCCAGUGGAUACUGUCAAGCUAGAGUCCGGAAGAGGCGAGUGGAAUUCCUGGUGUAGCGGUGAAAUGCGCAGAUAUCAGGAGGAACACCAAUGGCGAAGGCAGCUCGCUGGGACGGUACUGACGCUGAGACGCGAAAGCGUGGGGAGCAAACAGG